GAUGAACGCUGGCGGCGUGCCUAAUACAUGCAAGUCGAGCGAACGGACGAGAAGCUUGCUUCUCUGAUGUUAGCGGCGGACGGGUGAGUAACACGUGGAUAACCUACCUAUAAGACUGGGAUAACUUCGGGAAACCGGAGCUAAUACCGGAUAAUAUUUUGAACCGCAUGGUUCAAAAGUGAAAGACGGUCUUGCUGUCACUUAUAGAUGGAUCCGCGCUGCAUUAGCUAGUUGGUAAGGUAACGGCUAACCAAGGCAACGAUGCAUAGCCGACCUGAGAGGGUGAUCGGCCACACUGGAACUGAGACACGGUCCAGACUCCUACGGGAGGCAGCAGUAGGGAAUCUUCCGCAAUGGGCGAAAGCCUGACGGAGCAACGCCGCGUGAGUGAUGAAGGUCUUCGGAUCGUAAAACUCUGUUAUUAGGGAAGAACAUAUGUGUAAGUAACUGUGCACAUCUUGACGGUACCUAAUCAGAAAGCCACGGCUAACUACGUG
rnacentral:rRNA from 1 species